CGAAGGGUGCAAGCGUUAUCCGGAUUCAUUGGGUUUAAAGGGUGCGUAGGUGGGGCGAUAAGUCAGUGGUGAAAUCCUGCAGCUCAACUGUAGAAUUGCCAUUGAUACUGCCGCUCUUGAGUACGCUUGACGUGGGCGGAAUGUGCCGUGUAGCGGUGAAAUGCUUAGAUAUGGCACAGAACACCGAUAGUGAAGACAGCUCACGAAGGCGAAACUGACACUGAGGCACGAAAGCGUGGGGAUCGAACAGGAUUAGAUACCCUGGUAGUCCACGCCGUAAACGAUGAUCACUCGAGAUUGGCGAUAUACGGUCAGUCUCCUAGCGAAAGCGUUAAGUGAUCCACCUGGGGAGUACGAUCGCAAGAUUG
rnacentral:rRNA from 1 species